GCCCCUGUAGCUCAGUUGGAUAGAGCAACGGUUUCCUAAACCGUGUGUCGUGCGUUCGAGUCGCACCAGGGGUACCA
rnacentral:tRNA from 1 species